AUUGGGAGAAAAAAAACUUGGGGGGGAUAAAGAAAAAUUUAUUGGGGUACAUGAUAGGGCUGAUAUGGCAAUAAAAUCAUUUUGUCUCCCUCUACCAUAAUCAUGCCCUCAUGAUUAUGACCAAUAAGCAAAGGUUAUAACAGGCAGGUUUUGAAUCAGUAUAGAGAAAUUUCUAAUAAUGAGAACUGUCCAACAAUGUUAUUGGCUAAGCAUCUACCAUAGCCCAGGCCUGUGGAGACAAAACCAAGUAAGACAGAAUUGCUAUCUACAGCAGCUCAUAAAGUGAAAACCUCAUCCUUAAAGUGAUGAAACAAAGACUAACUGACCAUCUGUUAAGGAUCCUGAAUUAGAUAGUGAAGUAUGUGACAACUAAAGUCCACUCUAAAAUGAACAUUUUAAGAGUCUGGCACCCCUACAGAGCUGGCAGAGAACUUUAGGGCGAGAUAAAAUAUUCAUUGAGAGUCUAGAAGAUUCCAAGGAAUACAAUAUAUUUUUGAACUGUGCUCACCAAGGUCUUUUAUGGUCACGAAAUUAUGUAUGAAGUUGGCAGCAAGUCAACCUUACCUUAGGGUUUCACUGACACCUAGUGGUUAUAAUCUAAAAUGUUAAAAGACAACAUACAAUGAUCACAAAAAUGUUCGUAUUUAUAAAAAUCAUAAAUGAAUAUAGUGAUAAAAAUUCAUUCAUUUUGAAUUCUCUUUUCAAAAAGAAGUUAAAAUUGCUUAAAUGGCAUCUUAUAUCUGAAAUAUUUUUAUGCUAAAAUUUCAAACUCUUUAACACUUGAUUAUAAGCAAGCCUAUAAUGCUAUUAGCUUAUCUUUUAACUCAUAUCUUUCAGUUAUGUUAUUCUCUUGUUUAUGAAAAACAGAAGAACAUCAUCUAAAUGAUCAGUUUAUUGAAUUUUAGUAAUGUAAGUUGAGAUCAUGAAACAUACAAUCUAAUUCAAAAGAAGAAUCAUAGGUACCAAUUCAACACCAUUAGCACUACUUUCACAAUAGUGACACCCCACUUAUAACACUCUUUUUUGGGUCUCUGACUGUGAACAAGAUUGUGGAAGGUUGGUUGAGGUUAGGCCUAGGCAUUACGGUUAAGAAAUAACAGAUGCUAAUUAGUUAGUGGGGAAGUGAAGCUCAUGUUUAGGCCUUUUCAUAAUGUCUUUAUGCUAAAUAAAUUAAAUGAAGUAAACAGCCAUGGCUAUUGAACUACAGAAUACAUAAAAAUACAUUCUGUGAUUCACCUAUAAACAAAAGAGUAAAGCAGAAUGUGUCAAAUUUUCCAUAGCAGGUAAAGCAUAGAAAAAAAAUCUAGCUGAUAUAGUUGUUAUGUUUCAACAACAUAAAAUGAAAUUUGCUUACAGUUAUGAAAAGUCUUCUAGACAUAUGGAACCUAAGAAUGCUAUCUUGUAAUUUCCCAGAAAGUCCUUCAGGUACUUGAAGAAAUUCUUCA
rnacentral:lncRNA from 10 species